rnacentral:rRNA from 1 species
AGGGCACCACCAGAAGUGGAGCCUGCGGCUUAAUUUGACUCAACACGGGAAAACUUACCCGGCCCGGACACUGGAAGGAUUGACAGAUUGAGAGCUCUUUCUUGAUUCAGUGGGUGGUGGUGCAUGGCCGUUAUUAGUUGGUGGAGCGAUUUGUCUGGUUAAUUCCGAUAACGAACGAGACUAGCCUAUUAAAUAGAUUACCGUUCCUUUGUGACGGUAAGACUUCUUAAAGGGACAGGCGGCGACUCAGCCGCACGAAACAGAGCAAUAACAGGUCUGUGAUGCCCUUAGAUGUCCGGGGCCGCACGCGCGCUACACUGAAGUGAUCAGCGUGCAUUAAUAACCCUCUCUGACAAGAGUUGGCAACCCAUUGAACCUUCUUCGUGAUUGGGAUAGGGUAUUGUAAUUCUUACCCUUGAACGAGGAAUUCCCAGUAAGCGCGAGUCAUAAGCUUGCGUUGAUUACGUCCCUGCCCUUUGUACACACCGCCCGUCGCUACUACCGAUUGAAUGAUUUAGU